rnacentral:rRNA from 1 species
AUUGAACGCUGGCGGCAGGCCUAACACAUGCAAGUCGAACGAGUGGCGGACGGGUGAGUAAUGUCUGGGAAACUGCCUGAUGGAGGGGGAUAACUACUGGAAACGGUAGCUAAUACCGCAUACCAUCAGAUGUGCCCAGAUGGGAUUAGCUAGUUGGCGGGGUAACGGCUCACCAAGGCGACGAUCCCUAGCUGGUCUGAGGGGAUGACCAGCCAAACUGGAACUGAGACACGGUCCAAACUCCUACGGGAGGCAGCAGGGGGGAAUAUUGCAAAAGGGGGGCAAGCCGGAUGCAGCCAGGCCGCGUGUAUGAAGAGGGCCUUCGGGUUGUAAAGUACUUUCAGCGGGGAGGCGUAACCCGCAGAAGAAGCACCGGCUAACUCCGUGCCAGCAGCCGCGGUAAAC